GGCUGGGUAGCUCAUUUGGUAGAGCACUGGUCCGUUAUUCCAGAGGCCGCUGGUUCAAAUCCUGCUCCAGUCA